rnacentral:rRNA from 1 species
UGGCGGCAUGCCUAAUACAUGCAAGUCGAACGAGAUCUUCGGAUCUAGUGGCGCACGGGUGCGUAACGCGUGGGAAUCUGCCCUUGGGUUCGGAAUAACUUCUGGAAACGGAAGCUAAUACCGGAUGAUGACGUAAGUCCAAAGAUUUAUCGCCCAAGGAUGAGCCCGCGUAGGAUUAGGUAGUUGGUGAGGUAAAGGCUCACCAAGCCGACGAUCCUUAGCUGGUCUGAGAGGAUGAUCAGCCACACUGGGACUGAGACACGGCCCAGACUCCUACGGGAGGCAGCAGUAGGGAAUAUUGGACAAUGGGCGAAAGCCUGAUCCAGCAAUGCCGCGUGAGUGAUGAAGGCCUUAGGGUUGUAAAGCUCUUUUACCCGGGAUGAUAAUGACAGUACCGGGAGAAUAAGCUCCGGCUAACUCCGUGCCAGCAGCCGCGGUAAUACGGAGGGAGCUAGCGUUGUUCGGAAUUACUGGGCGUAAAGCGCAC